rnacentral:rRNA from 1 species
GCAGCCACUCAUUCAAAGAGUGCGUAAUAGCUCACUGGUCGAGUGAUCCUGCGCCGAAGAUUUCCGGGGCUAAAACUUACUACCGAAGCUACGGCAUCAGUAAUGAUGGGUAGGGGAGCUUCCCAUACGGGUUGAAGCAUGACCGUAAGGACAUGGGGACAGUAUGGGAGUGAGAAUGUUGGCAUGAGUAGCGAGAUGUGGGUGAGAAUCCCACAGGCCGUAAACCC